rnacentral:misc_RNA from 1 species
GAUGAAGAACGUAGCGAAAUGCGAUAAGUAAUGUGAAUUGCAGAAUCCAGUGAAUCAUCGAAUCUUUGAACGCACAUUGCGCCCGCCAGCAUUCUGGCGGGCAUGCCUGUUCGAGCGUCAUUUCAACCCUCGACCUCCCCUUGGGGAGGUCGGCGUUGGGGACCGGCAGCACACCGCCGGCCCUGAAAUGGAGUGGCGGCCCGUCUGCGGCGACCUCUGCGUAGUAAUACAGCUCGCACCGGAACCCCGACGCGGCCACGCCGUAAAACACCCAACUUCUGAACGUUGACCUCGAAUCAGGUAGGACUACCCGCUGAACUUAAGCAUAUCAAUAAGCGGAGAA